GUGAGGAAUAUUGGUCAAUGGGCGAGAGCCUGAACCAACCAAAUCGCGUGAAGGAUGAAGGUAUUAUGUAUUGUAAACUUCUUUUAUCGGGGAAUAAAGUGCACCACGUGUGGUGUUUUGUAUGUACCCGAAGAAUAAGGAUCGGCUAACUCCGUGCCAGCAGCCGCGGUAAUACGGAGGAUCCAAGCGUUAUCCGGAUUUAUUGGGUUUAAAGGGUGCGUAGGCGGACUGUCAAGUCAGCGGUGAAAGUCCAUGGCUCAACCAUGGAAUUGCCGUUGAAACUGUCGGUCUUGAGUGUAGAUGAGGUAGGCGGAAUUCGUAGUGUAGCGGUGAAAUGCUUAGAUAUUACGAAGAACUCCAAUUGCGUAGGCAGCUUACCAGGCUACAACUGACGCUGAGGCACGAAGGUGCGGGGAUCAAACAGGAUUAGAAACCCCGGUAGUCC
rnacentral:rRNA from 1 species